rnacentral:rRNA from 1 species
CACGUGGGAACAUACCCUUUACUACGGAACAACUCCGGGAAACUGGAGCUAAUACCGUAUACGCCCUUCGGGGGAAAGAUUUAUCGGUAAAGGAUCGGCCCGCGUUGGAUUAGCUAGUUGGUGGGGUAAAGGCCUACCAAGGCGACGAUCCAUAGCUGGUCUGAGAGGAUGAUCAGCCACAUUGGGACUGAGACACGGCCCAAACUCCUACGGGAGGCAGCAGUGGGGAAUAUUGGACAAUGGGCGCAAGCCUGAUCCAGCCAUGCCGCGUGAGUGAUGAAGGCCCUAGGAUUGUAAAGC